GAUGAGCGGAGGGUACAUGGAUACCCUUCGUGUGUCGCUCUCAAAGAAGAUCAUUAACAGGCAGUGACGGAUCCACUGGGAAAGCGUGUCCUAGUUUUCUUCUCAAUAUUUUGCACUAAUUAAAAUCAUUUCUGCUGCAGAUCCUCCACUCAUUUGAGUUUGGGAACUACUCUUGGUGGAGUGCAGAACACAGUGGAGCUGAUGAGAGCGUCCUGGGCUAGGAGGUCAAUGCUGAAGACUCUGCGUCUUGUGUUCAGUGUCACCCAAGGCAGAAAGGUCUUUGCGCGCCUGAAGUCCCAGGACGCUUCGCCUGAAGUCUCAGUUGUUUCCUUCAGCCCUGGCAAAUGCAGAAAAAUGCUGGUAAACGUUUUCAUGGAGAAGGUCUGCUGGCGUGGAGGCCUUUCAGUGCAUCUUGCCUGUGUAUGCAAUUAUGGUGAUUUACAUACAGAGCUCAGGCCCAUCCAAGAAGAGGGGGUUUCUGGGAAAACAAGUGUGCAAAGACAGAAAGAAAGAAAGAAGAAAGAAGAACACACCAGUAAAUAAACAGAAGAUAUAA